CAUGCCGUAAACGUUGGGCGCUAGGUGUGGGGCUCAUUCCACGAGCUCCGUGCCGCAGCUAACGCAUUAAGCGCCCCGCCUGGGGAGUACGGCCGCAAGGCUAAAACUCAAAGGAAUUGACGGGGGCCCGCACAAGCGGCGGAGCAUGCGGAUUAAUUCGAUGCAACGCGAAGAACCUUACCAAGGCUUGACAUAUACCGGAAACAUCCAGAGAUGGGUGCCCCGCAAGGUCGGUAUACAGGUGG
rnacentral:rRNA from 1 species